CUUUCCUCCCUGCCCGCCCCAGCAAUUGCCCCUCAACUUUCUGUCUCUGUGAACCCGAUUAUUCUACGAUCCUCAUCCUUGAGCUGCAUUGCAAAGGUCUCCAUAGUUCCCAGGCCCCAGGAAAUGGAGCAAAAAGGCAGAAGAACAUUUACCUCUCCACGCUGUCACUGACUGAUGUCUCAUCUAGGACCUCCUCAAAGUGUUGUGCUCCCUCAGGCAAGGGGAUGCGAUGGCAGACCCUCAAAGGCACCAGGCCACCCUUUGCCCUCCACAACUCAGUGCUGACACAUCAUUGGCUGCUGGACUGGCAUGGUGAGUCGGGCAUCUCUGCCUCCUGAGGAGAUUGCAAGCUGCACACUGGGAUGCUCUAGGUACCUGGAGCAGGGCAGGGCAAGAGGUUUGUCUCUGCUGAAUGGGCCACAUUGCCAGCCCAGCACAGAGACAGCUGCCAUCAUGCCUUAUCACGAGAGACAGCAGGGCCCACAUGCCCAGACCCCUCCAGCCAGGGCAGGGAAUGGCGGUGCCUGCUGGACACGGGCAGGGAGGGGAAACUGGGAGAGACUAGGACACUAGGAGUGAGGGGACGGGGCAGCUAAGGCCACAUCCCAAAGAGAUGGCAGAAGAUAGGAUAGUGCAUGGACCGAGGCCCCUGGCUACCAGCACAUGCUUCAUUGUCUUAUUGGCCUUUACUUACAUAAUACAGACUCGAAGAUAAAUUGAUUAAAAACCUCAUGCACUGCCACGUUCAUUACAGCAUUAUUUACAACAGCCAAAAUAUGGAAAGAAGCUAAGUAUUCAUCAAUGGAUGAAAGGAUCAAGAACGUGUGGUGUAUAUAUAUACACAAUAGAAUAUCAUCCAGCUAUAAAAAAGAAAGAAUUCUUGCCAUUUGUGACAACAUGGAUGGGUCUGGAGGCCAUUAUGCUAAGAUAAAUAAGUCAGAGAAAGACAAAUACCAUAUGAUCUCAUUUAUCUGUGGAAUCGAAAAAUAACAACAGGGGCACCUGGGUGACUCAGUCAGUUAAGCUCCCAACUGUUGAUUUUGGUUCAGGUCAUGAUCUCAUGUUUUGUGAAUUCAAGCCCUGCCUCACGCUUCGUGCUGACAGGGCAGAGCCUGCUUGGGAUUUUCUCUCUCACUCUCUCUCUGCCCCUCCCCAGCUCACACGUGCUCUCUCUUUCCAAAAUAAAUGAAAACAUUAAAAAAACAAAACAAAACAAAACAGGGACGCCUGGGUGGUGCAGUGGGUAAAGCGUCUGACUCUUGAUCUCGGCCCGGAUCAUGAUCUCACAGUUCGUGAGUUCGAGUCCCACAUGGGGCUCUGCGCUGAUGGUGCAGUCUGCUUGGGAUUCUGUCUCUCCCUCUCUCUGCCCCUUUCCUGCUUGUGCUCUCUCUGUGUCUCUCAAAAUAGAUAAAUAAACUUAAUUUAAAAAAUUAAAAAACAAAAAACAAAACUAAAUGAAAAUAAACUUAAAAAAAAAAAAAAACAAAUCAAGACAAUGUACACAGAGCAUGAAGCCCACAGGGCCAAUGGGACUGCACUGAUCUCAUGCCCAAGGAUACAGCCCUGUUGGUAUAUGAGAUGUCUUGAGGUGACAGGUGGAUGGGCCUUUAAAACAUUUUAAUAGUUUAUUUUAAUGUGUAUUAGAAAAAAAUCAUGACUAUCACAAUCUAUAAUUUCACAGCGAUACCGUCUUAGUUUGAGCUGUUAUAACAAAACAUUGUAAACUGGAUGGCUUAUUAACAACAUAAAUUUAUCUCUCACAGUUCUGGAGGCUAGAAGUCUGAGGUCAAGGUGCCGGCAUGGCCAGACUGUGGUGAGAAACCACUUCCUGGGUGCAGACUGCCCACUUCUCAUUGUACGCUCUUUUUUUUUUUAAUGUUUAUGUAUUUUUGAGAGAGAGAGAGAGAGAGAGAGAGAGAGAGAGAGCAUUAGCAGGGGAGGGGCAGAGAAAGGGAGACACAGAAUCCGAAGCAGGCUCCAGGCUCUGCACUGUCAGCACAGAGCCCGAUGCAGGGCUUCAACCCAUGAACCCAUGAAAUCAUGACCUGAGCCAAAUUUGGACACUUAACUGACUGAGCCACCCAGGUGCCCCUCAUGGUAUGCUCUUGGGGUGAAAAGAGAGAAGAGAGCUCCCUGGGAAUCCCUUUUAUGGGAGCACUAAUCCCAUUCAUGAGAGGUCCACUCUUAUGACCUGAUCACCUCCCAAAGGCCCCACCUCCUCAUACCAUCACUUGGGGGUCAGGUUUCAACCUAGGAAUUUUGGAGGGACACACGCACUCAGUCCAUAAUAGAUACAUAGACUCUCUUAGAAACAAAUUUAUGGAAGGAAAAAAUCAGUUGCUCUAAAGAAAAAAAAUAUUUUAAAAUAUUUAUUUUUGAGACAGAGAGAGAGAGAGAGCACAUGUGCACAAAUGGGGGAGGGGCAGAGAGAGAGGAAGGCAUAGAAUCUGAACCAGGCUCCAGGCUCCGAGCUGUCAGCACAGAGCCCGAUGUGGGGCUCAAAUCCACGAACUGUGAGAUCAUGAUCUGAGCCUAAACUGGACACUUAACCAAC